GACCAGACCCAGAGGACUCAGCUCGGGAGAGGGCAGCGCAUGGCCCACCAGGCCGGGGUCCCAUAGCAACAGCAGCCGCCGGAGCUCAUCCUGCCUCCCCCAUGUCGUCUGCCAGCUCAGGGCGGCACAUACGCCUGUGACUCUCAUCCAGGUCCCCACCCCACUGGACAUCCGGCCCGCCUAAGCCCAGCCUCUACUAUAGGAAUCCUGGGUCGGCUGACACCGUGCCCCAGGGCAGCCGCUGUGUUCCAUUUUGCAGGUUGUGGAGUCACCAAGGGGUGGAACUGGGAUGUGAACUCAGGAAAUUUGACCCGCAGCCUCUGCUUCGCUGUCCGCAUGGGGUUGCCCACGAUCCUCAUGCAGCCCUCUCUCCACGGCCUCUGUCCAGUCCCUUCUUUGGAGUACUCCAUUUCAGAUUCUUCUAGACCUCGAAGGAAACACCUUCUUUCCAGGCCAGGCCACAGAGAUGGAACUUUUGCUGAGACGCCUGGGCAAGAGACAGCCUCUGUCCACUGGGAUGAAAUGGGAUCAAAGGCUCUCAGGAAGCCAUUUUCCUCCCUCAUGGAGUAAGCCACAUGCACAGGAAGCCCUCACAAUGGAAGCGUAUCCAGGGGACGGAGAGAUGCAGAAUCCUAAUGACAGCACUUGAACCCCUGGAUCCAGCUAUACCUGAACCCAUGUAACACUUCUCAUUAACAUGAGCCAAUAAAUCCCCCAUUAUGCUUAAGCCCAGCUUGAA